rnacentral:rRNA from 1 species
AGAUUGAACGCUGGCGGCAUGCCUUACACAUGCAAGUCGAACGGCAGCACGGGAGCAAUCCUGGUGGCGAGUGGCGAACGGGUGAGUAAUAUAUCGGAACGUGCCCAGUAAUGGGGGAUAGCCCGGCGAAAGCCGGAUUAAUACCGCAUACGACCUACGGGUGAAAGCGGGGGAUCGCAAGACCUCGCGUUAUUGGAGCGGCCGAUAUCAGAUUAGCUUGUUGGUGGGUAAAAGCCCACCAAGGCGACGAUCUGUAGCUGGUCUGAGAGGACGACCAGCCACACUGGGACUGAGACACGGCCCAGACUCCUACGGGAGGCAGCAGUGGGAAUUUGGACAAUGGGCGCAAGCCUGAUCCAGCCAUGCCGCGUGUGGAAGAGGCUUCGGUGUAACCACUUUAGUCGAGGAAGAACGCUACUUAACUAACUAGUUAGGAG